ensembl:lncRNA
UGAAGAAAAAGCGAUGGCGGGAGGAUUAGAAACAGCUUCGGGUGCAAAUUGAAUUAGCCCUUUGAGAUGAUUUCAGGGGAGGAAUGAAAUGUCAUCCUCGCCCUCGCAGGCAGAAAUGCAAAACACGUGGAUGUGAAAGUGCAUCUUUUUUUCAUUCUUCUGAUUUCCUUUCAAAUGCUGACUCCUUUUUUUUUUCUUUUACUGUACUAAGAUACAUGUCAGGCGUAAAUCAUGGCCGCAGCGAUGAGAACCAGCCGCCUGCAGCUCCCGAGUCGCUGUUUUCAGAUGGCGUGUGUCACAGCUCCAACCCCUCCCCACAACUCAUUAUUUGGAAAUGAUUCCAAAAUGUCAAACACACGUCAUCUGUGUUUAUGAAGAGGGUUAAAGGUUUGUCCCCUCAAAUGUCCAACUAAAUAAUUAAUGUAACAGGAUUAGUUUUAUGUGUUUCGUUCACUUCACUAGUGGAAUAAAGAGAAACUGCAUUUACAUGUGAUUUAUGUUAUGUUAUAUUACAGAAUGGGAGAAACGGCCGCUGCUCAGAGCUGCAUUGGAGUUGGAGGACGUUUCAGCUGCGGCUUGCAGACAAAGCGAUCGCGUUUCUCCGAGUCGCGAGCUGCUCCCUCCCUUUUUUCUAGAGACGCGGGAAUCUCGAGCCAUCGGAACGUGCAGGAGGAGCGGGAGGAAACGUGUCUGAGGCCGGCGGACGUGGUUUGGGGAGCGCCUCCGCUCAGCGGGCUCCUGCAGUGACGGUAUUGGUUGUGACACCAGCAACUGGCCCCAACGUUGGAAACAUUUUCCAAAAAGUUGGUUCAUGGAGACGGUCCCGGAGCCGAGACGUCAGGAUUCUCCUACCGUUGGGUUUGCAUUGGAACGGGAGAUGUUGAUCUACGCUUGGAGCAGCUCGAUAGUCUCACGCUGUUUAUUGUUACAAUCCCUCUGCACACAUUAUAAUUAUGGGACGGAGCUAAUACUUAGCGCGGCGAAAUGUAAACUUGUGUGACAUCACAUGCGUGCGUGUAAGGCUUCGAGUAAAAAGGAAGGAAGGUCUUUUUAAGUGUUGCGUU